rnacentral:rRNA from 1 species
GCUAACUACGUGCCAGCAGCCGCGGUAAUACGUAGGUCACAAGCGUUGUCCGGAUUUAUUGGGCGUAAAGGGAGCGCAGGCGGUUUGUUAAGUCUGAUGUGAAAGCCCACGGCUCAACCGUGGAACGGCAUUGGAAACUGGCAAACUUGAGUGCAGAAGAGGAAAGUGGAAUUCCAUGUGUAGCGGUGAAAUGCGUAGAUAUAUGGAGGAACACCAGUGGCGAAGGCGACUUUCUGGUCUGUAACUGACGCUGAGGCUCGAAAGCGUGGGGAGCGAACAGGAUUAGAUACCCUUGUAGUC